CUACUAACAUCACAUUUCACUGUGUCAAAAAAACAAAAUUCAACUAAGUAAAUUACAAGAUCAAAUUGGCUUUAGUCAACAGUUCAUGAAUUGGGCAGUUGGGCAGCAUCCCAUCUAACAAAUAGAAAGGAGCUUGAAGAAGCUGUACAAAAUGAAAGGCUUUUAUAGGCAGAAGGGAGCUGAAAAAGGAAGUCUGUAACAAAGAGUAUUGUUUCCGGCAAGGUCACCUUCCUUUGGGGGAAGGGGCGGGGAUCUGUCAUGCAGAUGACCUCACUGGUACUGAUCGGUUAUUUCCAGAUUGACUGGUUAAAGUUCAGAUAUUAAGUCUUGUUUUGCUGAUGAGGGGCUUGCACAAGGGACUCCAUUUUUGGCCUGUUGUUUCUUUUUAACAACUGUUUCCCAUCUUGGAUUCAAUGUUUUGUGAAAGUGGUGUUCCACCUUUAGAGGUGGUAAUUUUCUUGUUUUCUCCCAAAAUAGAAAAAAAUUAGUUUCUAUGGUCCAAGGGGAAAAGAACUUCUAAAGUUUAAUGUAUUGGUGGCUUUUAUUUAUGCAAAAAUUAGUUCCAAAAUUAACUCAAGGGAUUUUUGGUAGGAUUAAAGGAAAAGUGACAUUCUUUUGAAAUUUGGUUUUCCCCAAAAGUUAAAAACUAUAUGCAUACCUAAAGGUUAAAAACAAAACAAAACAAAACAAAAAAAACCAAUUUAGUUGAUACGAACAAAUUUUAUGUAAUACUUUAUAAAGCAAUCUCCUUUUAGAGAACUGCAAAAUGGGGCAGAAGGCUGGGAGAUUUUCUAGAAUAAAGAACAAGGAAGAGAAAAAUGGAAAAAAUCUGGCAGGUUAUACAAUCAACCUUGUUUAGGGUGAGAAGGCUCAGAGUUGGCUUGGCAUUGGGGGAUUGGCUGACUGGAUAUACUGCAUUUGUGGUCAAGUGGAACAUUCACAGGGACUCAAAAUUUAUCUGAAGUUCCAUUUACUGAUGCACCACCUGGGCAGGAGUGGCUCCAUCUUGGGCCUCGAAAUGUAUUUCUUUUCUUUUUUUUUUUUUUUUUUUAAGAUGUUACUUAUUUAUUCAUGAGAGAUGCAGAGUCACAGGCAGAGGGAGAAGCAGGCUCCAUGCAGGGAGCCCGACAUGGGACUCGAUUCUGGGUCUCCAAGAUCACACCCCAGGCUAAAGGCGGCGCUAAACCACUAAGCCACCAGGGCUGCCCCUCAAAAUGUAUUUCAACACCAACUAAAACAUAGUUCUGUAUUUCACAUCAGGGAGCCAAAAGGUAUUUAUUGAAUGACUACUGUGCACAGCAAUGUGUGUACAAGUUGUUCCGAAUGGCAGGUAGUAGCACGUGCAAAUGUGCUUCUGUAGCCUAACAAUGACAGAUACAGCUGUCACUCUAGCUAUUCACAAGGAUCCUCAAAAGAAGGAGGUGCCAUGAGAGUGAGACAAGGGGUUUCUGACAACUAGCUGGAGAGGCCUGUUGUUCUUUUCGGGAUCUUUUGCUAUUACAAAUGUGAUAAUCCUAUCAUUUGAACAAAUCUGAGGGACUUUUAAAUUAAGUUGAAAAUUUAAAAAGGUCAAAUAGUAGCUAGAGUGAUGGCACUAAUGAUCCACAUGUACAUAUGUAUUAUAAGUCUUAAAGCCUUUUGGAUUAUCUUCUUUAUAUAAUCAACUUACUCCUUUUUAAUCAUUACAUGAAUUCAGAGUAAGAGCAAUCACCUUAGGUCAUCAUCACAAGCAAUUUCCCUAAGUGUAAGACUCCAUCAGUAACAAGAUACACUAUUGGUUUAAGGUCAGUUUUUAAGGAAAAGAACCACAACAGAACUUUACCCGUCGAUCAUAAGUCAUCCCAAUUUCCAGAAUGUAAAAAUGAAAGAAAAAAAAUAAGGUACAUCUUGGAUUUGAGGCAAUACCGUAGCAUAAUAACGUACUCCGACACAAUUUUAAAAAUCCAUGGCUAGAGAUGUACACUGAUUAAAAUGUGGCCGAUUUAGCUUACUUUAAAAAUAUCUCAUCAGGAUAGGGCCCUAGACUACUUAAUAAUCUGGAUUGACUUUGUAAGCCUAAUGAUCUAAAGAUAUAUUUUUGAAGCUUUUCAUGUUUUUAUUGCCCAAUAGGGCCAUUCUCAGUUCUGCAUUUUACUAAAGAAUGGAAUUUGACUUCCCCUUGUAUUUCUUUUAAGAUCUAAGCAAUAACUGAGAUUGUGAAUAUUUCAGCAACUAAGACAAAGCACUACAACAAAUAUGACAUCAUAAACUGUGACUAUAUCUCAUAUUCUUUGGAAGGAUAAGUCUUUGAACUCAGAUGGGAGAAUUUAAAAAGAAAAAAAAAGCCCCUUAACUUACAUCCAUGGUCUUGUAAGAGGAGCCAGAGGCAUAUGAGAAGAGGUUCCCUAUGUACCAGGUGGUACCUUCUCCCUCAGUUUCAACUUCAGAGAAAAGGCAGGAAUCGGGUCCUCUGCUAUAACUGACAGAACCAGUACCACCUAAGGCACAGGUCUAAUAAAGAAAACAUGUUAAUACUAAUGGCAAGUGUUGUUCAGGUGUCUGUGCUAAGUUCUGUGCUAGGGGUUUGAAAUCUGUUGUUAUUAUCUUUGUUUUGCAUAUUGGAGAAUAAGAGGUUCGUUGCCAAAGGUCACACUAGCAGUUUGAGCUAUGACUCAACCCAGGCCUGUCUGAUUCUUCAGCCCAUACCUUGAACCUCGAGGCUAUGGCUUUUGAGACUGCUUUUCCAGACUCAGACUAACCAAGAAUAUUUCAACCUGCCUGGAAUCACUUUGAAUUAUUGACAGGAGUAAGUCUGUCUACUGUA
rnacentral:lncRNA from 1 species